rnacentral:rRNA from 1 species
UACAGAGGGUGCGAGCGUUGUUCGGAAUUAUUGGGCGUAAAGGGCGCGUAGGCGGUGCGGUAAGUCACCUGUGAAAUCUCCUGGCUCAACUGGGAGCUUGCAGGCGAAACUGCCGUGCUGGAGUGUGGGAGAGGUGCGUGGAAUUCCCGGUGUAGCGGUGAAAUGCGUAGAUAUCGGAAGGAACACCAGUGGCGAAAGCGGCUUCCUGGUCCAGCACCGACGUUCAGGCACGAAAGCGUGGGGAGCAAACAGG